CUCCUACGGGAGGCAGCAAUUAGGAAUCUUGCGCAAUGGGGGAAACCCUGACGCAGCGACGCCGCGUGAAGGAUGAAAUUCUUCGGAAUGUAAACUUCUUUUAUUUGGGAAGAAGAAUGUGACGGUACCAAAUGAAUAAGCCCCGGCUAACUACGUGCCAGCAGCCGCGGUAUAC
rnacentral:rRNA from 1 species